GUGUGGUGUACUAGCAAACAUGAGACUAUUCCAAGUCCUGUCAAUCCUGGUGCCUCUGCUGUUGGGCAUCGGAUCCCACACCGCCGCUGUGUACUGCACGGACGGGAACACGUGCCCCUGUAUUGACCGGUGCGAUCCUGUUUGCGCCAGUAACGGGUGCACCUAUAUCAACAGAUGCAGAUUGGAUUGUGCCGGCGAAAAUUUUGUGGCUAAAGGAGAGUGUCAGUUAUGACAAGCUGUCAAUUUUAGCUUAGUAAAUUAUAUUGUUAAUUAAGAUACCUAUAUACGGAUCCCUAUGUUGUUUUGUUCAUGUUUAAUGUUAAAACCUUUUUAGU